ACACACUGCAGAAGCUGCUCUCUCCACAAAGGCGAAUUCCUCUGUCCAUUCCUGCUGAAAAGUACGAUACUCGUCUUUUUUUUUUUCUUUUAGUCAUCUUCUUCGAUAAAAGGGUUUCUGCAAUUAGCUAGCUGACUACUUGAUUAAAAGGAGGGAAGUUUACUUCCUGACCUCACAACGACCCGUGUGCGUUACGCAUUAUCCAAUAAAAAUUUGGAGUUGUCCCGGAGGACAGCUGUGAUUGGCAACCAUGAACAUGAGCGGUAGGAAAUGAAUGGAUUGAAAUACAUGAGAAUGUUUUAUAUUUUUAACGUUAUUAUUUUUUUUUUAAUUAAAGAUUUGUCUGCGAGCCAGAUGCAGCCAUCAAAAGAGCCACAUCUGGCUCGCGAGCCAUAGGUUCCCGACCCCUGCUCUAAACAGUAAAACGAAAUCCGAAAGUCGGGUUAUGGCGGAGUGUAGUUUUUUUUGACUGCACUAAUAGUUCGUAAACACCACACAGGAAGUAGGAAAAGAACUACAUUUCCCAUCUGCCCUGGCUGUCACAGGCUAAUAGCACCAGCUGCUUUCCAUUGCUCUAAUGAGUGAUUCUACUGCUGCAACGAGACCAAAUGCAACGAAAGUAUUGAUGCUGCAAAAGAAGACGGAUCUUUUGGUAGGCUGGUUAAUGAUGACCACAAGCACCCAAAUGGCAGAAUGCAGAAGACUGAAGUGGAUGGAAGCCCACAUCUUGGUCUGUUUGCUUUAACAGACUUUAAAGAAGGUGAUGAAAUUACUUACAAUUACAGAGGAGGAGACUGGCCUUGGUGCAGCAAGGUAAAACAUCUACUCUGAAAAAGAGGAAGGCUCGGGAAGGAAAUCAGGUCCAUGCAGUGGAGAGACAUAUGAAGACCUUCAUCAUGUCAUGUCGUGUCCCAGGGAAGUUGGCCUGUGAAAACUGCAUUAGAUCUGAGUCUUUAUAUCUUAAAGAUAGAGACUGGCAAAGUGUCAAAUUCUACGUCUAUAACUGCACUGUAGCUUACAAAAGAGAUAUAAACAAAGAUUAAAUAACACUUUGAUAGUAACACUUUACAUCUAUAUUACAGAUACUGUACAUCAUAACAUCUGUAGUAAUGCUUUAAUAAUAAGUUACAUUACACCUCUAGCCUUUUACUUUGUAAUGAACCGCUCAGCAUUUACUUCAUCAUAAACUAAUCAGGAACAAAUCAGGCAUUUAAAAUAUCCAUUAGAAUCUUUACCUACACCGUUAUAUUGAAUUAGAUCAAAUUGGUUUGGGCCGCCUUCUUCCAGUGGGUCCUUAUGCAGGUGACUGACAAGUUCAUGAAUAAGCCUAUUGGGCAAUAAAAGCUUCAGUGUGCUACCCAUUUACAUGUUUAGACUGCCUGGAAUCAAAAUUAGCUACCUCAACAUACAUUAUUAAGUUGUUACUGUCACUUUUUAGCUUAGUCAGUUAAGUGGAUAUAGAAUAAAGAAAAAAAUUGUGUUUGGUUGUGUGUCUGUGUUUGGCUAGUAUCUUUAUUUUUCUCAAUUUGUUUAACUUUGAGCUGGCUAUAUGUAGUAAGCAGAAGUGUUAUGUCAAACUUAAAUGAGUCCAAGUUCAUUCAUGGCACAUGUGAGCUUAGUAGUUCUGCACUUUAAUGGGCAAAUAUUUGUUGUCUUUUACAGUAAAGAAGCUCAAGACUCAAGUUGUCUUUAUAAUGUUGAAUAGACAGGGUUUUUUCAUCUGACUGACAAUUUUUCACUUGAUUAGAGAUCCAGACCAAUAAACAAAUACUUUGUGUAGCUAAAAUAUCAAAAGGAUGAGUGUCUUUGUCAUUUUGACUUGCCAAAAUGACUGGGGAUAGUGUUAAUUUGUGAUGCAUGCCUGUGAUAAAUAAGUGAGGUUCAGUACAGCUAGCACCUCUACUUUCUAUUCCACAAAAAAAAAAGUAUACUUUGGAGCAGGAAAUGAAAAGCUUCUUAGAAUUAUAGCCUCAAAACUAAUAAUAGCACUGGUACCACCUUCCUUAACAGGUUCCUAGGUUUCUCAAAGGGUUCCUCUGUUUGAAAUAGAAAGCUCCAAAGAAAUGUAGUCUAUUAUCUGUUACGUGCAGAUAUUGAAAUUUGUGUAAGAGAGCUUUUUGAUAACCAAACUUUCACUGAUUGCAUAUUUCACAAAUAAGGCUAAGAGUCCUUAGUAUAAACAAUUAAGAACAACUGUUCAAUAUAAUUUCAUGAGAAGCUUAAACCUUCAAAUAGAGAAAAUACACAUCAUAUCUGCUUUACAGACAGCCUUCUAAAUUAGACAUACUUAGUUUGUAAUUUUGUAUAAAUAAUUAUAGAGUUAAAUUGACAACGUUUUAAAAUGGUUUUUUAAAACCAUGUCCCAUUGUUGUUAUAUAAACUACCUGAUCUGUGUGUAUGCAAAUUAACUAUCUAGUGAUGUCCCCACUACAACAUGAAAACCAGCUAAUUUGCUGUGUAUGCAAAUUAGGUCCCCAUUAAUGAUGAGUUCUUGUUAUGUCCACAUUAGGUGUGAAAAAACCAAGCACAGAAAUUUUGAGAUUUAAAUCCAGAAUUUGAGAUGAUAUGUGUUCUCAGGCUUAAAUUAUACAUGCCUGAUUUUUUUCACAUCUGUAGGACCUCAGGAAAGUGGUGUCCCCACAAUACAUGGGUGGGACUACUGACCCCAGAAUGUUAUAAUUACGAGUGAGUGAGUGAGUGAGUGAGUGAGUGAGUGAGUGAGUGAGUGAGUGAGUGAGUGAGUGAGUGAGUGAGUGAGUGAGUGAGUGAGUGAGUGAGUGAGUGAGUGAGUGAGUGAGUGAGUGAGUGAGUGAGUGAGUGAGUGAGUGAGUGAGUGAGUGAGUGAGUGAAAGGUACAGGAGCAGUCUGGCUGUGCAGCUACAGUAAAUGUUAAUAAUAAUAAUAGGACAUUAUUUAAAAGCUCAUACAGCUGAUGUGAUUUUUAUUUAGUAGUUAAAUUAACAUGCUAUGCUAACAUGUAAACAAUAAGAUAAUAUUCCUGACGUACAUUUUACUCUCAAUAUUGACUGUUUCUGUUCUGUUUCACCAACAAAAAUAUUUCCAAACAAAGCCACAGCAGGUCCUGCUCCUUUUUCCUCCUAAUUCCCUCAUUUCUCCACGUUGGGAUUAAUAAAGUAUUAUCUUAUCUCAUCUUUUGUUCAAAUGGGAGAUUUCUUAUUUAUUUUAUUUAUUUUGUUUAUUUUUAAAUAGGAGACCUUUUAAUAAUUUUAUUUAAAAAUGGCUUCAUGUUUCAAUUAUAAUGAAGCGUUUGUUCAAACAAAAAUGUUUUCAGUCCUUUAAGGAUCAUUGUAACUGAGGAUGUUAUGUUUAAAUAAACAGCAGGAGACUGAGCACCAGUGACUUGACACCUACAGCUGACAAAGCUGCAAGCAGGGUUCAUAACUGCGCAAGAAAACCCCGUUGGAUUUAGAGUCCGACGCCUCAAAGUGAUUUAAGGAAACACUAGGCUAUUCUACUGGAGCCGACGGACGUGUCUGUCCGUGUUCGACCCUUCUUCAACAACAACUUUGCAGUCUCGUUUAUAUUCUCAGGUUUCCGCACAUGGACGCCCUCUUCAGUCCAUUUACUUCAGUCAAGUAAUUAGAGCCUUUACUAGUUUACAUGAACACAUUCGGACGACUUACUUUACGUCAAAGCAUUUUUCUAGGAUAAAACACAAGCGUGUUUGAUGAAUGCCAAGGUGCUUUCCUGGUCAUCUGAAUAGAGUUCUCUCUGCAUUACGACACAGUUUCAUAACAGGCUUCAAGUUGCACAGGUGAAACCCCGGUGUAGUUCAAGUCCAGUGCCCUUUUCUCUCUGCAGUCGGGAAGAUAGUGCACACGAGUUAGUUGACACAGACCGCUGACAUGCCUUGAGCAGGCUUCAAGUUGCGUAGGGGAGACCCCAGUGCAUUCCAAGUCCAGUGCCAUGUUCUCUUGGCCAUCAGAGGAAGGGGGCAUGAGACAAGACUUAAGUGCAUUUCCUUGGUUCAUUUAUGUUCUGAUGGUUUAUGUUUUGAUCGUUUCAAUGUGCCAACCUUCUUUACCAGCCGUAACCGCGAUGGAGAAUGAGACAAGGCUUAAGAGUAACUCCAAGGCUCAUUGACGUUUUGAUCGCGCAUGGUCUCAACAUUCCAAAGUGUCAUGUGUCUUUUCAAAUGGCUUCAUGUUUCAAUUAUAAUGAAGCAUUUGUUCAAACAAAAA